rnacentral:rRNA from 1 species
GAUGAACGCUGGCGGCGUGCCUAAUACAUGCAAGUCGAGCGAACGGACGAGAAGCUUGCUUCUCUGAUGUUAGCGGCGGACGGGUGAGUAACACGUGGAUAACCUACCUAUAAGACUGGGAUAACUUCGGGAAACCGGAGCUAAUACCGGAUAAUAUUUUGAACCGCAUGGUUCAAAAGUGAAAGACGGUCUUGCUGUCACUUAUAGAUGGAUCCGCGCUGCAUUAGCUAGCUGGUAAGGUAACGGCUUACCAAGGCAACGAUGCAUAGCCGACCUGAGAGGGUGAUCGGCCACACUGGAACUGAGACACGGUCCAGACUCCUACGGGAGGCAGCAGUAGGGAAUCUUCCGCAAUGGGCGAAAGCCUGACGGAGCAACGCCGCGUGAGUGAUGAAGGUCUUCGGAUCGUAAAACUCUGUUAUUAGGGAAGAACAUAUGUGUAAGUAACUGUGCACAUCUUGACGGUACCUAAGCAGAAAGCCACGGCUAACUACGU